rnacentral:misc_RNA from 1 species
UCCGGUUUGUCACCGGCAGUCAUCCUAGAGUGCCCAGCUCUACCUGCUGGCAACUAAGAUCAAGGGUUGCGCUCGUUGCGGGACUUAACCCAACAUCUCACGACACGAGCUGACGACAACCAUGCACCACCUGUCACUCUGUCCCCGAAGGGAAAAUCCUAUCUCUAGGAGUGUCAGAGGAUGUCAAGACCUGGUAAGGUUCUUCGCGUUGCUUCGAAUUAAACCACAUGCUCCACCGCUUGUGCGGGCCCCCGUCAAUUCCUUUGAGUUUCAGUCUUGCGACCGUACUCCCCAGGCGGAGUGCUUAAUGCGUUAACUUCAGCACUAAAGGGCGGAAACCCUCUAACACUUAGCACUCAUCGUUUACGGCUAGGACUAC